rnacentral:rRNA from 1 species
GACGAACGCUGGCGGCGUGCUUAACACAUGCAAGUCGAACGCUGAAGCUUGGUGCUUGCACUGGGUGGAUGAGUGGCGAACGGGUGAGUAAUAAGUGAGUAACCUGCCCUUGACUCUGGGAUAAGCCUGGGAAACUGGGUCUAAUACUGGAUACGACAUGUCACCGCAUGGUGGUGUGUGGUAAGGGUUUUACUGGUUUUGGAUGGGCUCACGGCCUAUCAGCUUGUUGGUGGGGUAAUGGCUCACCAAGGCGACGACGGGUAGCCGGCCUGAGAGGGUGACCGGCCACACUGGGACUGAGACACGGCCCAGACUCCUACGGGAGGCAGCAGUGGGGAAUAUUGCACAAUGGGCGGAAGCCUGAUGCAGCGACGCCGCGUGAGGGAUGACGGCCUUCGGGUUGUAAACCUCUUUCAGCACGGAAGAAGCGAAAGUGACGGUACGUGCAGAAGAAGCGCCGGCUAACUACGUG